rnacentral:rRNA from 1 species
AGACAUAAAAGGUGGCUUCGGCUACCACUUACAGAUGGACCCGCGGCGCAUUAGCUAGUUGGUGAGGUAACGGCUCACCAAGGCGACGAUGCGUAGCCGACCUGAGAGGGUGAUCGGCCACACUGGGACUGAGACACGGCCCAGACUCCUACGGGAGGCAGCAGUAGGGAAUCUUCCGCAAUGGACGAAAGUCUGACGGAGCAACGCCGCGUGAGUGAUGAAGGUUUUCGGAUCGUAAAGCUCUGUUGUUAGGGAAGAACAAGUGCCGUUCAAAUAGGGCGGCACCUUGACGGUACCUAACCAGAAAGCCACGGCUAACUACGUGCCAGCAGCCGCGGUAAUACGUAGGUGGCAAGCGUUGUCCGGAAUUAUUGGGCGUAAAGGGCUCGCAGGCGGUUUCUUAAGUCUGAUGUGAAAGCCCCCGGCUCAACCGGGGAGGGUCAUUGGAAACUGGGGAACUUGAGUGCAGAAGAGGAGAGUGGAAUUCCACGUGUAGCGGUGAAAUGCGUAGAGAUGUGGAGGAACACCAGUGGCGAAGGCGACUCUCUGGUCUGUAACUGACGCUGAGGAGCGAAAGCGUGGGGAGCGAACAGGAUUAGAUACCCUGGUAGUCCACGCCGUAAACGAUGAGUGCUAAGUGUUAGGGGGUUUCCGCCCCUUAGUGCUGCAGCUAACGCAUUAAGCACUCCGCCUGGGGAGUACGGUCGCAAGACUGAAACUCAAAGGAAUUGACGGGGGCCCGCACAAGCGGUGGAGCAUGUGGUUUAAUUCC